UACGAAGGGUGCAAGCGUUACUCGGAAUUACUGGGCGUAAAGCGUGCGUAGGUGGUUCGUUACGUCUGAUGUGAAAGCCCUGGGCUCAACCUGGGGAUGGCAUUGGAUAAUGGCGACCUAGAGUGCGGUAGAGGGUAGCGGAAUUCCCGGUGUAGCAGUGAAAUGCGUAGAUAUCGGGAGGAACAUCCGUGGCGAAGGCGGCUACCUGGACCAGCACUGACACUGAGGCACGAAAGCGUGGGGAGCAAACAGG
rnacentral:rRNA from 1 species